rnacentral:rRNA from 1 species
UACGUAUAAGACUAGUGUUAUUCAUCUUUAAUAGGUUUAAAGGGUACCUAGACGGUAUAAUUAGUCUUAAACAGGAUACGAUUAUACUAGAGUUAUAUAUGAGGAGGGGAGUAUUUAUGGAGUAAGAAUUGAAAUUCUUUGAUACCAUAACGACUGGUAACGGCAGAAAGCAACCUUUUAUCUAUAACUGACGUUGAGGGACGAAGGCUCGGGUAACGAACAGG